UGUGCAGUAUAGGUGGGAGGCAGAGAGUAUAUAUUUGCGGAUGUAUAGGAGCCAUUAGUGAGAUACCACUCUGAUUAAACUAGAAUUCUAAUAUUGAUUGCCAUCAGCUGGCCAAUAAACAGUUUCAGGUGGGCAGUUUGACUGGGGCGGUCGCCUCCUAAAAGGUAACGGAGGCGUGCAAAGGUUUCCUCAGGCUGGUCGGAAAUCAGUCGUAGAGUAUAAAGGCAUAAGGAAGCUUGACUGCGAGACAUACAAGUCGAGCAGAGACGAAAGUCGGCCUUAGUGAUCCGACAGUACUG
rnacentral:rRNA from 1 species